UACGAAGGGGGCUAGCGUUGCUCGGAAUCACUGGGCGUAAAGCGCACGUAGGCGGCUUUGUAAGUUAGAGGUGAAAGCCCGGGGCUCAACCCCGGAAUUGCCUUUAAGACUGCAUCGCUUGAAUCCGGGAGAGGUGAGUGGAAUUCCGAGUGUAGAGGUGAAAUUCGUAGAUAUUCGGAAGAACACCAGCGGCGAAGGCGGCUCACUGGACCGGUAUUGACGCUGAGGUGCGAAAGCGUGGGGAGCAAACAGGGAUUGAGA
rnacentral:rRNA from 1 species